rnacentral:lncRNA from 1 species
UAAGAAUCUGCAGGGAGAGGCUGAGAGACCACUGCUCCUUGGUGAUUCUGCUCAGUCAGUUACUGCUGGGGCGACAGGUGCUGGAACUCUGCCGAGGCCUGCCACACAACGAAGAGCAACGCAACGACCAGGGUCUUCACAAAACUUAAUUUUCACAAGACAAUCAUCGACAAUCUGGUUAGAUGGUUGUGUGCCAUUUUCAAAAUGCCAGUUGAGAACAUGGAUGCCUUCUUUCUCCACAGGGGUAAGAGUCAUAAGUUGCUUCUAUAAAUAGUUCCUCUAUACAUUUAUAUAUAUAUAUAUAUUUUA